rnacentral:rRNA from 1 species
CGCCUCCUGCAAACCAACGUAUAGGAGGUCUUACCUGCCCAGUGACAUAUUAAACGGCCGCGGUAUUUUAACCGUGCGAAGGUAGCGCAAUCACUUGUCUCUUAAAUGGGGACCUGUAUGAAUGGUGGAACGAGGGCUUAACUGUCUCCCUUUUCAAGUCAAUGAAAUUGAUCUGCCCGUGCAGAAGCGGGCAUACACAUACAAGACGAGAAGGCCCUUUGGAGCUUAAGACACAAGAUCAACUAUGUCAAGACCCAGUAAACUAAAUAGCACCUGAUCCGAGUCUUCAGUUGGGGCGACCACGGGAGAAAACAAAGCUCCCACGCGGACCGGGGCUAUCGCCCCAAAACCAAGAAAAACAACUCUAAGUCGCAGAAUUUCUGACCAAAAGAUCCGGCCACCCGCCGACCAGCGAACCAAGUUACCCUAGGGAUAACAGCGCAAUCCCCUUUCAGAGUCCAUAUCGACAAGGGGGUUUACGACCUCGAUGUUGGAUCAGGACAUCCUAAUGGUGCAGCCGCUAUUAAGGGUUCGUUUGUUCAACGAUUAAAGUCCU